rnacentral:rRNA from 1 species
GAUGGACGAUGGCGGCGUGCCUAAUACAUGCAAGUCGAGCGAACGGACGAGAAGCUUGCUUCUCUGAUGUUAGCGGCGGACGGGUGAGUAACACGUGGAUAACCUACCUAUAAGACUGGGAUAACUUCGGGAAACCGGAGCUAAUACCGGAUAAUAUUUUGAACCGCAUGGUUCAAAAGUGAAAGACGGUCUUGCUGUCACUUAUAGAUGGAUCCGCGCUGCAUUAGCUAGUUGGUAAGGUAACGGCUUACCAAGGCAACGAUGCAUAGCCGACCUGAGAGGGUGAUCGGCCACACUGGAACUGAGACACGGUCCAGACUCCUACGGGAGGCAGCAGUAGGGAAUCUUCCGCAAUGGGCGAAAGCCUGACGGAGCAACGCCGCGUGAGUGAUGAAGGUCUUCGGAUCGUAAAACUCUGUUAUUAGGGAAGAACAUAUGUGUAAGUAACUGUGCACAUCUUGACGGUACCUAAGCAGAAAGCCACGGCUAACUACGU